rnacentral:lncRNA from 1 species
GACGGUAUUUCGUGUUUUUGAAGAGUCAUUUUCACAAUUUAACUUUGAGCAAAAGCCUAAACUCAUCGAUGGGCAUGCUGUCUCGUAAUUUAAAACCUAUAUCAAACUUCAUUAGAAUUUCAAUUCAACUACAUGUAAAAUUGACUUUGCUACUUUGAUUUAAAUAUAUAUGUAACACUCCCAAAUGUGUCCUCCCCCCCCCCAAGAAAACGUGUCCGAUUCGCCUAAACGUGUCUAUCCCCCCAAAACGUGUCCGUUACAUUCAAUUUUGCCCAAACGUGUCCGAUGUCAUAACCCUUAAAUGUGUCCGAUAAUUGUUAUUCGCCAAAACGUGUCCACUGUCAAACGCCAAAACUUCUUACGUCUUUUAGCGCUUACCUGAAUUUUCUAAUUGACAUCAAUACACGUUAUUUUAGUACGGCAAUUCUAUGGUGGGGUACACAGUUGAUGAAGUGGUCAUUUAUUAUCAUUAGUUUGUUCAAUGUCGGUUUGUUAACGCAAAUUGCAAAUUUAAUCUGUUACAUAUUAAUUAACUUUAACUGAAAUGCUUAUUGUCCAGUUGCAAGUAUUUCAUGCUCAUUAACAGCGA